rnacentral:rRNA from 1 species
CGCUAUCACUCCUACGGGGAGGCAGCAGUAGGGAAUCUUCACAAUGGGCGCAAGCCUGAUGGAGCAACACCGCGUGAGUGAAGAAGGGUUUCGGCUCGUAAAGCUCUGUUGUUAAAGAAGAACACGUAUGAGAGUAACUGUUCAUACGUUGACGGUAUUUAACCAGAAAGUCACGGCUAACUACGUGCCAGCAGCCGCGGUAAUACGUAGGUGGCAAGCGUUAUCCGGAUUUAUUGGGCGUAAAGAGAGUGCAGGCGGUUUUCUAAGUCUGAUGUGAAAGCCUUCGGCUUAACCGGAGAAGUGCAUCGGAAACUGGAUAACUUGAGUGCAGAAGAGGGUAGUGGAACUCCAUGUGUAGCGGUGGAAUGCGUGGAUAUAUGGAAGAACACCAGUGGCGAAGGCGGCUACCUGGUCUGCAACUGACGCUGAGACUCGAAAGCAUGGGUAGCGAACAGGAUUAGAUACCCUGGUAG